rnacentral:lncRNA from 1 species
GUUCUGAGGAUUGCCCGACGCACAAAUAGUUCUUUGCUCAAUUAAAUGCUGUUACAUUUAAUUUGUCUAAAGCUUUUCUUUUAACAGAUGUUUAUAAGAUAGGUGUUCAUAAGCAAGAGAAUGUAACUCUAUUUGCCUUUAAAUACUUGUUAUGAAGAAGUUAUAUUUGCAAAGUUCUAAGAAAGCUGCAAUCACUUGCUGUUGCCGGAAACUGCCUUGUGGCCUGGCGUCCUGGGAAUUUGCUUGGCUUUUUGUGGCCGCCAUCCAAAACUGGGAACCACAAGUCAAAGUUUUCCUUGUAGAAAUAUUUCACCUCGGCCGCCCGGGAGGCAGCGGCUGGAGGAGCGGACGGGCC